GCCCGGCUAGCGCAAUUGGUAAGAGCGUAAGACUUUUAGCACCUUGCCGUGUGAAGAGAUCUUAAGGUUGUGAGUUCGAGCCUCACGUCGGGCG